CCUGAACGCUGGCGGCGUGGCUAAGACAUGCAAGUCGUACGGAGGUAGCAAUACCUCAGUGGCGAACGGGUGAGUAAUGAAUCGCUAACGUGCCCCGGACUCUGGGAUAGCCGGUCGAAAGGCCGGGUAAUACCAGAUGAUAUACCUUUAUCGCAUGAUAGAGGUCUCAAAGGUCCGCCGGUCUGGGAGCGGGCGAUUUCGUAUCAGCUAGUUGGUGAGGUAACGGCUCACCAAGGCGACGACGCGUAGCCGGACUGAGAGGUUGGCCGGCCACAUU
rnacentral:rRNA from 1 species